UACGUAGGCAGCGAGCGUUGUUCGGAGUUACUGGGCGUAAAGGGUGCGUAGGCGGUUGUUUAAGUUUGGUGUGAAAUCUCCCGGCUCAACUGGGAGGGUGCGCCGAAUACUGAAUGACUAGAGUGCGGGAGAGGAGAGUGGAAUUCCUGGUGUAGUGGUGAAAUGCGUAGAUAUCAGGAGGAACACCGGUGGUGUAGACGGCUCUCUGGACCGUAACUGACGCUGAGGCACGAAAGCGUGGGUAGCAAACAGG
rnacentral:rRNA from 1 species